UGUAGCCGGAGAAUGCAUCCAUGAAGGUGAGAAGCUCGUGGCCCGAGAUUGCAUCUACUAGUUGGUCGAUUCUGGAUAGAGGAUAACUAUCCUUCGGACUAGGUUUUAUUCAGUUUUUUGAAGUCUAUACACAUCCUCCAUUUGUCGUUCGUCUUCUUAACCAAGACCACAAUGGAAAGCCAGCUCGGAUAGUUGACCUCUCUGAUGAACCCGGCUUUCAGGAG
rnacentral:lncRNA from 1 species